GCCCGGUUAGCUCAAUCGGUAGAGCGUGAGACUCUUAAUCUCAAGGUCGGGGGUUCGAGCCCCCCAUUGGGCU